rnacentral:miRNA from 1 species
CAUGGAGAGAGAGGGAGGGAGAGAGAGGGAGAAAGAGAGAGAGAGAGAGAGGAAAGGUCAGCACCAUCCUUUUAAAUUACAAUUCGCCUGGUGGGUAGCGCUCACUUUAUGUGACCACAGAGUUCAGCCGAGUGGGUCGAGGGCUCCCUCUCCCUCCCUCCCUCUCUCUCUCUCUCUCUCUCUCUCUCUCUCUCUGUCUGUUG